UACUGCAGUCGAACGCACAGCGAAAGGUGCUUGCACCUUUCAAGUGAGUGGCGAACGGGUGAGUAACACGUGGACAACCUGCCUCAAGGCUGGGGAUAACAUUUGGAAACAGAUGCUAAUACCGAAUAAAACUUAGUGUCGCAUGACACAAAGUUAAAAGGCGCUUUGGCGUCACCUAGAGAUGGAUCCGCGGUGCAUUAGUUAGUUGGUGGGGUAAAGGCCUACCAAGACAAUGAUGCAUAGCCGAGUUGAGAGACUGAUCGGCCACAUUGGGACUGAGACACGGCCCAAACUCCUACGGGAGGCUGCAGUAGGGAAUCUUCCACAAUGGGCGAAAGCCUGAUGGAGCAACGCCGCGUGUGUGAUGAAGGCUUUCGGGUCGUAAAGCACUGUUGUAUGGGAAGAACAGCUAGAAUAGGGAAUGAUUUUAGUUUGACGGUACCAUACCAGAAAGGGACGGCUAAAUACGUGCCAGCAGCCGCGGUAAUACGUAUGUCCCGAGCGUUAUCCGGAUUUAUUGGGCGUAAAGCGAGCGCAGACGGUUGAUUAAGUCUGAUGUGAAAGCCCGGAGCUCAACUCCGGAAUGGCAUUGGAAACUGGUUAACUUGAGUGCAGUAGAGGUAAGUGGAACUCCAUGUGUAGCGGUGGAAUGCGUAGAUAUAUGGAAGAACACCAGUGGCGAAGGCGGCUUACUGGACUGUAACUGACGUUGAGGCUCGAAAGUGUGGGUAGCAAACAGGAUUAGAUACCCUGGUAGUCCACACCGUAAACGAUGAACACUAGGUGUUAGGAGGUUUCCGCCUCUUAGUGCCGAAGCUAACGCAUUAAGUGUUCCGCCUGGGGAGUACGACCGCAAGGUUGAAACUCAAAGGAAUUGACGGGGACCCGCACAAGCGGUGGAGCAUGUGGUUUAAUUCGAAGCAACGCGAAGAACCUUACCAGGUCUUGACAUCCUUUGAAGCUUUUAGAGAUAGAAGUGUUCUCUUCGGAGACAAAGUGACAGGUGGUGCAUGGUCGUCGUCAGCUCGUGUCGUGAGAUGUUGGGUUAAGUCCCGCAACGAGCGCAACCCUUAUUGUUAGUUGCCAGCAUUCAGAUGGGCACUCUAGCGAGACUGCCGGUGACAAACCGGAGGAAGGCGGG
rnacentral:rRNA from 1 species